GAUCAUGGCUCAGGAUGAACGCUAGCUACAGGCUUAACACAUGCAAGUCGAGGGGCAGGCGGGAUUGAAGCUUGCUUCAAUUGCCGGCGACCGGCGCACGGGUGAGUAACGCGUAUCCAACCUUCCGUACACUCAGGGAUAGCCUUUCGAAAAGAAAGAUUAAUACCUGAUGGUAUGAUGAGAUUGCAUGAUAGCAUCAUUAAAAGAUUUAUCGGUGUACGAUGGGGA
rnacentral:rRNA from 1 species